ACGGACUCUUCGCUUUCGAAGUAGGCUUGGCUACUGCUGAUGAUGUAUAUCUGGUGAUUUUGGCUCGUUGACAUGAGUCUUUUGGUUCCUUGAGAAACACUGCAGAAGACCUAAAAAUAAUAAUCAUAUAUUCAAUGAACGGUACACUGGGAGAACUAAGUGUGUUAUAGCUGAGACCAAAGGGAGGGGCUCAAUCACCACAUCAAGCUGAAGAAUAUCCUUACCUGGAGUGGAGUACAUUUAUUUUGGAUAAAAAAAGCUUUAUCACCAAAUUCUCACACAGACAGCAAAGUGUGUAGUUGUGUUGCUUCCUUGUCAAUGAUAAACCUAUGUGACAUUUUAUAAAAACUGAUAAUGGUAAGAAGGAAUUGGCCAACAAAGGUGAAGUGCAUGAAGCAAAGAAAUGGAAAACGAUAAUGCUGGAGGUGAAAUUGGAAUCAAAUGUAAAUGGAGUUACAGAAGAAAUAGUUGACCAGAGGAGUGUUGACAUUGCUGCCAUUCAACUCUAGAUAUGCAGCUAGAGGAACUUUGUGAAGACAAAGUUAUCAACAUAAAAGAGGAAAAUUGUUAUGAAGAAAAGAUCAAGAUACCCCAGGAUUAGUGAUGCUGGCAAAAAACUUCCAUUAAAGGAACUCUCAGAUAUUUUACAACACUGAAGGAGCAAAGGAAAAAAUAUUGGAAGCUGAUCCAAACACUGAAAGGAGGAUGCCAACUUGCCAAGGUCCAUGAGAAUCAAGUUCUCUGAGAACAGAGAUUUUGAUGGUGUUCACCCCCACCUCCACCUCCUCACUAAAUCUACAAUGCCUUAAUAGUGCCUGGCGCAUGGACUUUCUGGACUUUCUGUUCCAAGCUGUUAGAAUAAAGAUGUUGCCACCCCACCACACAAAAUCACCUACAAAAUAACAAGGAUAACUCAAAAGACAAGCACCACCUCUAUCUUCAAUGAAACUAGAAGCUAUAUGUAAACCUGAGCAAUGAAAUAUGAAGAUGGAAAGCAAACAGAGGAAUGGUGAAUGACUUACUGAUCAGAGAGAGCAUUCAAACCUAACUGGCUAGGAAUAAAGGGUAGGAUAUCAAUGAAAAGAAAGUUGGUUACCUAGAAACCUUGCACAGGCUCAAGGAUUGCGAUCACCAAGGAGCAUGGAAGGUGGAAGUGAAGAGGUUGGAACCUCAUGAAAACGAAGAGACUAUGAAAAUCUGAGAAGGAUGCUUGAUUGCCCUGUGCUUAUUUACUCUCAGGUAACAGCCCUUCUCAUCUCCCUGGAGAAAUAUAUUCUCUGGAGAAAUCAAAACAGAGGGGUUUUAAAUUGGUGACACAAGGCAGAGAACAGGUUGGGGGUACGAUGCUGAAUGAAACACACGUAGAUUAAGUGGAAAUCUACCCAAUGGUCUAUGAGACCAUCAUGCUCCUUUUUCUCACCCAAAGCAAGAACACUGAAGCCGGGGAUAUAUACCCUGGAGAUUGGAGAAACCACACCACCCCAGAGAAAAACAUGAUGAUAGUGUCCUUUGGGGGUUCCCAAAGAACAAAUCAUGUCAUGUGAAGUCCACUCUUUGAACAAGCCCCACCCACACACACCAGUCUUCAGGUCAGCUUUUCAGUGUCUACCUGCUAACUACGAAUAUGUAGCCAAAGCUCACCAGGCAUUUGCUGAAAUCCUCCAACCAGAAACAGACACACCAGAGCAAACAGAAAAGGGAACUCAGAGGAAAUAAAGAUCAUGCAGGGAGGAAAGCAGAAGAUGAUUUCAAAAAGGCUAUAAUUAAUAACAAUUAAUAUUUUCUAAGAGAAGAUAUCAGGAAAUGAGUAGAAUGCUCUAAAAAAAAGCAAUAGAGAAUAAAAAAAGGGCAGAAAUUAAAAAUCCAUUACAAUAACUUGGAAGAGAAAGUUGAGGACACCUCCCAGAAAGUAGGAAAAAAAAUGGUCAAAAGUUGGAAAAUAGAGAAAGAAAAUAUAGUAGUCCAUCAUCUGAUGAAUAAGAGAAAACUUCCCCAAUAU